rnacentral:rRNA from 1 species
GGGACCCGUCUUGAAACACGGACCAAGGAGUCUAGCAUGUGCGCGAGUCAUUGGGACUCUAUCGAAACCUAAAGGCGCAAUGAAAGUAAAAGUCCGUCUUGCGCGGACCGAGGGAGGAUGGACGGUCUCGAGGGACCGUCUCGCACUCCCGGGGCGUCUCGUUCUCAUCGCGAGAAGAGGCGCACCCAGAGCGUACACGCUGGGACCCGAAAGAUGGUGAACUAUGCCUGGUCAGGACGAAGUCAGGGGAAACCCUGAUGGAGGUCCGUAGCGAUUCUGACGUGCAAAUCGAUCGUCGGAACUGGGUAUAGGGGCGAAAGACUAAUCGAACCAUCUAGUAGCUGGUUCCCUCCGAAGUUUCCCUCAGGAUAGCUGGCGCUCGCUUCUCGCGAGUCUCAUUCGGUAAAGCGAAUGAUUAGAGGCAUUGGGGUCGAAACGGCCUCAACCUAUUCUCAAACUUUAAAUGGGUGAGAUCUCCGGCUUGCUUGAACUAUGAAGCCGCGAGAUAUCGGAUCAGAGUGCCAAGUGGGCCACUUUUGGUAAGCAGAACUGGCGCUGUGGGAUGAACCAAACGCUGAGUUAAAGCGCCUAAAUCGACGCUUAUGGGAUACCAUGAAAGGCGUUGGUAACUUAAGACAGCAGGACGGUGGCCAUGGAAGUCGGAAUCCGCUAAGGAGUGUGUAAA